UGCAUAGAUUAGGUGAAUUUUGCCAACCAAGUCGUCUCCCUGUCAAUUCAAUUUUGACUUGCUCCACGGGCGAGUUUGCAGGGGAAGUCUUUGUGUACACGCUGCAUGUCAACUAGCCCCAGCCGACUGGGCCAGAAUACAUAGGCAGGCAUGCACAUACAUACGCAUGGGGAGCCGUAGCAAUGGCGGAGCGAGCAAGCUCAUGCAUAGUGCAUGGCCGUUAGUAUUAAAUCAUCCAUAUAAAAUUCACAAUGUCAUCCUGGGUUGGCGGCGAGCUGGGCGGCAGAUGGACCCGAGACGAGCUGCAGACAGGCUGCUGCCGACAAACCUCUCCGACCUUGCCCGGUACCUACCCAGAGACUCUGGCAACCACAUCCAUGGUAGUCGUGGGUCCGGUUACCAGGCUAACUGCUUCGGCUCAAUGCUGGGCUUCGUAUUACCGACGCUGCGGGCUAGACCUGGCCGGGGACCGCUCUCGCUGAAUGAGUUUUGGUUGCUUGCUGGAAGCGCACAGAGAGCGCGGUCAACACGGUAUUAAUUGGUGUAUGUGUACUGCUCCUGUGGUGCCCGGGCAGGCCAGGCAUGGUGAAGCGGCGAGCACGUCUUGUCUUGGAGGAUGCCUCAACAAUUCAGGGAGAACUUUGACAGUGCCAAGUACUCAGCUGAACCCCGUGCUGAGCAUAAUUGCCACGUCUUGAGAUCAUCGCUUGUGCAAGCGCACAUGAACACACACGCCUGGUCAUCUCUCUUCAAACUCAUCACGACACUACGCCAGUGGUAUCACAUUGUCUUGUGUUAUCGAGCUAUAAUUAAUUUUGUGUAAGUAUGCUGAAACCUUGACAUUUACUGCGGGAUUUUGAAGGAAACAAGUGACAUAUAAUGCCCAAGCCCAUGUGAAAUUAUAGAAGACCCAGUUUAAAUGACCAGCAAUCAAGAAGAAACUGGGUAAACAGACAUGCCCAGAAGAAAACACUAAACAUUAUACCAAGCACAAAAUGACACAUAAGUGACAUAAACUAAUUACUCCUUUGAACAAUUUCUUCACACGAUAUCCACGAAACAAUAAAUUCUAGAUUCAACAUGUUUUACUUCUGACAGAGAAGUGCAGAGAAUUAGGAAAAGCGUCCGUUACGAUGCCAAGUUACUCAAGACAAUGUCUGAUAAUUAUGGAACUUGGUAGGCAUGUUAAAUAAAUUUUGUGACGGCGUGAUUACGUCAACGUCACGUCUUGCCAUUGCGUCAUGCUAUGGAUAUUAUAAUUUUCUAUGCUCUUCCCGUGAUUUUGCGCAGUGUUUAAUUAACUGUGCAAUAAAUUGCUGCUUCUUUAACGUGGAACACCUUUCUAUCGUUUUUAAAAAGGGAUUUUCUUUUGUUCAUAAAGGUGUACUUUGUAGACGUCAGGUGUAAUAAUGCCACUGUUUGAGGAUCAAUCACAGGAAACCUGUUAAACAGAAAUCAAUUGUUUUCACUUACAAGGUUUUCACAGAAUCUUAAAAGGAGACUGGUCUAAUUCUGACGUUUAUAUGCCCAAGUUAAAAGAUGGUUGAUUAAAAUGUAAUGGAAUUUUAUGAGGGCGGUAUAUUUCAAUCUUUCUAUUCUCUUUGUAGAAUAAAAAGUAGAAUUUAGUGGGUCGUUUUUCUGCUGCCAAGCUGAGAGAAAGAUGCAGUGUUUACGUAGAUUACAACAUGCGCGUCAACGUGUCACUCAUAUGUCGGCCACAAAAACAAUUCCCACUCAUAUAUUAUUGUCAUAACACCACUUGUGUAAUUUAUAUGCUGUAUCACCACCCCGAGUCAACAAAUAGUGUUGAUAUAACACCGAUGCAACACUUGAGUGCUCAGGAAACUCUUCUUGGAAGCGUUGAAGGAAUGGCACGGUGGGUGAUAUUAUUGUUACCGGGACGAAUAUUUUGAAACCGCAGUUGGGAAUUGGAGACAAACAGGGAAAAAUCUUGGGGUGAAUUUGGGGCAAUCUUUGGGACAGCUGAUUCACAGAGGUCUGUUCAGAGAUGUGGGGAGUUGUCUUGUGAUAUUCAGCGCGGCAGGAUUGGAGGAUAUCAUUGCAAGCGUGCACGACAGGUAUAACAGAGUUUGUCAUGAACACAAAUAACAUUGAACAGAGAAGUAUCUCGGUCAUGAUCACGCAUAAGCAGUUUUGUAGGGAGUUCAUCGCAAGUCCAUGCAAAUCCAUCACAUUCAGUCGUAAGCCAAGUCUCAAGCCAGUUAAAUGAACAGUGAUAAAAGCAUUCCUUUGUCAGUGUUCACACUGCUACAUGUGACUGAUCUUGUGAAAGGACUUGUAUAGGACUUAUUAUGGAGCCAACUACAAUGCAAAGAAGCACGAAGUUGCCAAACUUCCAAAAUUAAUGUUGAGCACUGCGAGACAAAGGAACCCAAUCAUUAGAUUGACGUUUUCUGCUCGCGUAAAUUGACAGGCGGAAAAACUGGGCCAACGAUAAGACGUAGAUAUAGCCAAUGAAAAAAUCGGAUCGUCCUCUCUAAUGCUAGCGUAUUGAUAUCUUGGGUUCCCCACACUGUGACAUACUUGAUCGACAUGUGAUCGAAGGGGAAGUGUUCACCAUCUCGUCUACAGCGAACCGAACAUCGCCUGGCAUCACCGCAGCGGGAGCUUGGCGCAGAAAGCCGGCAAUCCCAUUGGGCGGUAAUGCUACACCGAAAUGCUCAGCCAAUGGACGAGCAGACACCUGCCCCCGUAAUGCGAUGCCCACUCUUCUAGUUCCCCCCUUGUCCAAUAACAGACACAGGACUCUAUCAAAAGCAGAAACAAAACUGGACACCGAUUCUGGGCAGGACUUUAUUUUUGCGUGAGUCGAUUUCAAAUGAUGUUGAGCUUAACUUAAAAUUGGAUGAUUCUACUAAUAUUUAAUCUACAUCAUUGUCUCGAUUCACCGAUCACUUCAUUCCCGGUAUGAUGCAAAGAAGAGAUGAAACUUGUGUUAUUUCCGCCAACGUCAUCAAUUUUUCCCUUUUCAAAUAUUCGAAUUUUCUUCCACGAGGUUUCAAUACAAUGAAUGAUUCAUCACUAAUGUGAAAUAUUCAACUAUUUGCUCAGUGCUGUUGGCCAGAUGCAACUGCAAUUAUACAUGUGGCUUUAGACCCAAAAAUAAUGUAAUUGUGACACACUGAAUUGAUAACUUUGUUUUAAUUGUAAUAUGUAUACAAGUAUGCCUGAGCUUUGCUGGUGAAAAAGUAAAUUCAAAUUUACCGAGUCAAGGUCAUUUUGCCGUCCUUUCAAAUCAGAAACACUCUACAUGACCCAAUAGCAUUAGAUACAAAUGAUAAAGUUUACCUAAUUUAGAUUCUAGCUAAUACUAAUAAAUUCGCUUUUGUUCAUCGUAUGUAAAACGCAUGGGUCAAUAAAAAUUGUCAAGUUUGCCCCAGUGUGGCUCCAACUUAA